rnacentral:snoRNA from 1 species
UGCAACAGUAGGAUCAUUUCUAUAGUUUACGUCCCUCUUUGACUCUUCUAAAGAGCCACUGAAUCCAACUUGGUUGAUGAGAUAUAUACCUUUGUGCCCUAGAGUGAGGUUUUUGUUUAGCUUGUCCACAACUCUUUGCAGUUUGGUCAUCUACAAAUUUUGCCUUUUCUUCAUAAUUUGAACUUCGGUUCAUGUUAUUUCAAAGGAGCGAUGAUCUCGACCCAGUUUAUGUACUUCUUCGGAAGGGAUAGACCUUGGGUGGGCGCAAAUGGCAGUCUGACAAGU